CACUUCUUUUGCAACCCACUCCCAUGGUGUGACGGGCGGUGUGUACAAGGCCNGGGAACGUAUUCACCGUAGCAUUCUGAUCUACGAUUACUAGCGAUUCCGACUUCAUGGAGUCGAGUUGCAGACUCCAAUCCGGACUACGACAAGCUUUGUGGGAUUCGCUCCACCUCGCGGUAUUGCUGCCCUCUGUACUUGCCAUUGUAGCACGGGUGUAGCCCAUCCCGUAAGGGCCAUGAUGACUUGACGUCUUCCCCACCUUCCUCCGGUUUAUCACCGGCAGUCUCCUUAGAGUUCUCGCCAUUACGCGCUGGCAAAUAAGGAUAGGGGUUGCGCUCGUUGCGGGACUUAACCCAACAUUUCACAACACGAGCUGACGACUGCCAUGCAGCACCUGUCACAGAGUUCCCGAAGGCACUAAGCUAUCUCUAGGGAAUUCUCUGGAUGUCAAGGGAUGGUAAGGUUCUUCGCGUUGCAUCGAAUUAAACCACAUGCUCCACCGCUUGUGCGGGCCCCCGUCAAUUCAUUUGAGUUUUAACCUUGCGGCCGUACUCCCCAGGCGGUCAACUUAACGCGUUAGCUACGCCACCCACAGAUCAAGUCUACAGACGGCUAGUUGACAUCGUUUACGGCGUGGACUACCAGGGUAUCUAAUCCUGUUUGCUCCCCACGCUUUCGUGCCUCAGUGUCAGUAUUUGUCCAGGUAGCCGCCUUCACCACUGAUGUUCCUUCCAAUCUCUACGAAUUUCACCGCUACACUGGAAAUCCCACUACCCUCUACUAUACUCUAGCUCGCCGGUUCAAAAUGCAGUUCCAGGUUGAGCCCGGGGCUUUCACAUCUUG
rnacentral:rRNA from 1 species